GAUGAACGCUGGCGGCGUGCCUAAUACAUGCAAGUCGAGCGAACAGAUGAGGAGCUUGCUCCUCUGACGUUAGCGGCGGACGGGUGAGGAACACGUGGAUAACCUACCUAUAAAACUGGGAUAACUUCGGGAAACCGGAGCUAAUACCGGAUAAUAUAUUGAACCGCAUGGUUCAAUAGGGAAAGACGGGUUUGCUGUCACUUAUAGAUGGAUCCGCGCCGCAUUAGCUAGUUGGUAAGGUAACGGCUUACCAAGGCAACGAUGCGUAGCCGACCUGAGAGGGUGAUCGGCCACACUGGAACUGAGACACGGUCCAGACUCCUACGGGAGGCAGCAGUAGGGAAUCUUCCGCAAUGGGCGAAAGCCUGACGGAGCAACGCCGCGUGAGUGAUGAAGGUCUUCGGAUCGUAAAACUCUGUUAUUAGGGAAGAACAAAUGUGUAAGUAACUAUGCACGUCUUGACGGUACCUAAUCAGAAAGCCACGGCUAACUACGUG
rnacentral:rRNA from 1 species